rnacentral:rRNA from 1 species
UACGUAGGCAGCAAGCGUUGUUCGGAAUUACUGGGCGUAAAGAGUGUGUAGGCGGUGCUCUAAGUCCGUUGUGAAAUCUCCCGGCUUAACUGGGAGGGUGCGGCGGAAACUGGAAUGCUAGAGGAUGGGAGAGGUAAGCGGAAUUCCUGGUGUAGCGGUGAAAUGCGUAGAUAUCAGGAGGAACACCUGUGGUGUAGACAGCUUACUGGACCAUUUCUGACGCUGAGACACGAAAGCGUGGGUAGCAAACAGG